CGCAGCCGCGGUAAUUCCAGCUCCAAUAGCGUAUAUUAAAGUUGUUGCAGUUAAAAAGCUCGUAGUUGAAUUUCGGGAUCAAUAUGUUGGUCGUGCCUCGGUACGUACUAGCUUAUUGGUUUCUCCUUUCUGAAGAACCAUGAUGUCAUUUAUUUGGUGUCGUGGGGAAUCAGGACUGUUACUUUGAAAAAUUAGAGUGUUUAAAGCAGGCUCACGCUUGAAUACAUUAGCAUGGAAUAAUGAAAUAGGACGUUUGAUUCUAUUUUGUUGGUUUCUAGGAUCGACGUAAUGAUUAAUAGGGAUAGUUGGGGGCAUUAGUAUUCAAUUGUCAGAGGUGAAAUUCUUGGAUUUAUUGAAGACUAACUACUGCGAAAGCAUUUGCCAAGGAUGUUUUCAUUAAUCAAGAACGAAAGUUAGGGGAUCGAAGACGAUCAGAUACCGUCGUAGUCU
rnacentral:rRNA from 1 species